UUGUGUUAUUGGUGACAUAGCAAACACUUAGUUUAUACGCAUGAACUAAUGACAAAGUGUUCCGAAUUUUAUGAAACAAGUAUGCAUCAUACGUUGAUGUUUGACGUUUCAGGUCAAUCAUACGUUGAUGUUUGACAUGUCAGGUCAAUCAUACGUUGAUGUUUGACAUGUCAGGUCAAUCAUACGUUGAUGUUUGACAUGUCAGGUCAAUCAUACGUUGAUGUUUGACAUGUCAGGUCAAUCAUACGUUGAUGUUUGACAUGUCAGGUCAAUCAUACGUUGAUGUUUGACAUGUCAGGUCAAUCAUACGUUGAUGUUUGACAUGUCAGGUCAAUCAUACGUUGAUGUUUGACGUUUCAGGUCAAUCAUACGUUGAUAUUUGACAUGUCAGGUCAAUCAUACGUUGAUGUUUGACGUGUCGGGUUAAUCAUACGUUGAUGUUUGACAUGUCAGGUCAAUCAUACGUGGAUGUUUGACAUGUCAGGUCAAUCAUACGUUAAUGUUUGACAUGUCAGGUCAAUCAUACGUUGAUGUUUGACAUGUCAGUUCAUUUCAAUCCAAUAAUUUGUUUCAGGAGUCAUGGUCGUUUCAUAACAUAUGAAAAGGAGGUUAAAUACCUUACACAUUUACAAAGUACUAUUAGGUUAAAAUGGCGGUACUAAAUAACAACAUUGUAUUGAUGACUUUUGUUGUUUGAUAUAGGUUUUUUAUUAGGUAACCUGGGAACAACAUGAUCAUGUUUAACUUCUAGGAAACGUUUGUCCACCGUCCGUCUUUCGUAUUCAAUUAUAACCAAAUGGAUUACAUUCUAACCAACAUGCUCGUCAUUUUUUUAAUGCUAAUUAUACACUGCUUAUAUUGGUUUAUUACAAUCUUUGAAUUCAUUUGAAUUAUGUGCUGUUUUUUAAUAUAUAUUUAAUGUUGAGAUUAUCUAGCAGUUGAUGAUAGAGAAUCAAGCUAUGUUUUUUUUGUUAUGUUAUAUCUGUACUUUUAGUUGUUAACUUAGCAUGUUUUGUAUCAUUAUUGUCCUCAGACAAACACAUACAGUGCAGGCUUUCGAUUAUAGUCCAGUUGGUCUUUUUUUUGCUAUUUUGAACAGUAUUAUGGUUGAUUGUUAUGUUUGUUAUAAUUCGUCUCUUGAUUGCUAUAGUGCUCUUACUACCAUUUUCAUUUUUUGGAGAAAAACGCAUGUAAAGGUUUAACCUUUAUUUUCUCACUUAUUUAUGCACGUAUGUGGAAAAAAAUAUACCGGAGUGUUUAUCAACAAACAGAAAAUAUCAUUAAAUAUUAA